AAAGCUACCAUUUACUGAUCUUCCUAUCUGCAAAGUUGUCAUCAGAGCAUGCUUAAAAGAAACUACAGAAAGGCAAAAUUAUCCGAAGUGGAAGACGGAAUAAGUGAAGCCCUGAAGCAUGUCCCUAAAAGACAAGGUGGCCUAAAGUAUAAGGAUCCUGAACCUAAAAGACCUAAUUAUUUAACAGCACAAGAGUCGUCCGAUUCAGAAAACUCGGCGCAGAUUAAAUCAAGACAGAGUGCAAGGUUCAGUGCCCCAGGAAGGUCAUACAGUAUGAGGCCCACACACACACACACACACACACACACACACACACACACUCCUGCCAUCAUACUUCCCACUCUCUAUACCACAUAACCAUCAUUUACCACCUGCUACUACUUAAUGUAGUAAUUGUUGAUGUGCAAGCAAGUCCGCACCAAGUCUACCUCGCUCCUAAGAACCUUCUUGUGCAAGAUAAAAUUCAUGAUCUUAUAAUUCAUAAUGUAAGUUUUUAUUUCUUAACUGCUACCAGGAGAGAUCAAGUAGAGUAUAUAUGUGUAGCCCAUGAAAUAUGAUUUUUUUUUUUUUUACAAUAUAUUUAUACCUAAUUUUUUUUUUUCAAAUAUUAUUGCCCAUGGA